rnacentral:rRNA from 1 species
UACGGAGGGAGCUAGCGUUGUUCGGAAUUACUGGGCGUAAAGCGCGCGUAGGCGGCCUUGCAAGUUAGAGGUGAAAGCCCGGAGCUCAACUCCGGAACUGCCUUUAAAACUGCAUAGCUUGAAUCCGGGAGAGGUGAGUGGAAUUCCGAGUGUAGAGGUGAAAUUCGUAGAUAUUCGGAAGAACACCAGUGGCGAAGGCGGCUCACUGGACCGGUAUUGACGCUGAGGUGGCGAAAGCGUGGGGAGCAAACACGG